AUGAAGGUCGCACACCAGCACACACCGCAGCCCCGGGCCAUCCAUCGGACCGGGCCUGGAUCAGCCGCACGUCUGCGAGACGAAACAACUCGGCAGCGCGCAGAGCCCGGCGGAGGACCGCCCGCUCGCCCACCGACAUCCCCGCACCCCCCUCACCCGGCAGGACCCGACCGGCGGCAGCGCCCAGCGGGCCCCGCUCUACAAGAGCCGCCCCUCCGGAGCGGUCCCGGCCGGGAGACGAAGAGCGGACCCCGCUUAGACGGCGGGCUCCGCAGAGAGAAGCUCCGAGCCCAAGUUGUCCGCGGGGCCGUGCGGGUUACCUGUCCCUCUCGCCGCUCCCCCUCAGCCGGCUGAGCAACCGCAGCGGCGCUAGCUGCGGCUCUCUCGGCCCGGUCCCAUCUCCGCUCUGCGCCGCGCCGGCCUCAAACACCACGUAUUAAGCACGGCCCGGAGCGCCGCUCGCACCGUGCCUGCGCAAUGAGAGACGCCGCCGCCGCCGCCGCCGGGCCGGCCGGCCCCGCCGCCUCCGCCCCUGAGGGGAUCGGCGCGGCGAGGCGGUGUUGGGAGGGAGGUGGGAGCCGAGAGCCCGGCUCCGCGGUGAGGGGGAUCUUGGGGCCUGCCAGCCGUCUGGGGGGGUCAGCGAGGAGUCCCGCCGUGCCGGUGGGCGGGGGAGCGUGGCUAUAAGACUCGCACAGCCCGGGACAGGCACUGAAGGAAGGUCAGCUCUGCUGCUGCUUUGUGCUCCCGGGGCAGAGGGUAAAACCCACCAUCUCCCUGGGCAGCCGGUUCCAAUACCUCACCCCUUUUCUGAGAAGAAAUUUUUCAUAACAUCCAACCUGAACCUCUUCUGGCAUAGCUUGAGGCCAUUACCUCUCACAGAAUCACAGAAUUGUAGGGGUUGGAAGGGACCUCUAGAGAUCAUCGAGUCCACCCCCCCUGCCAAAGCAGGUUCCCUACACCAGGUAUCACAGGUAGGCAUCCAGGCGGGUCUUGAAUAUCUCCAGAGAAGGAGACUUCACUACCUCCCUGGGCAGCCUGUUCCAGUGCUCAAUCACCCUUACUGUAAAGAAGUUCUUCUGCACCUUAUCACUAGUAACACAGGAGAAGAGGUUGACCCCUAUCUUGUUACAAACUCCUUUGAGUCAGUCAUUGAAACUGAUAAGGCCUUUCCUGAGCCUCCUCUUCUCUAAAAUAAACAAUCCCAGUUCCCUCA
rnacentral:lncRNA from 1 species